AAUGAUAAGCAAGAAAAUGAGAUGGAGAAAGAAGUAAGUGAAAAGAAAAAGAAAAAAGGUCAAAAAGUUAGGGAGGAAAAAUUAAAGAAUACACAUAUUCAAAAUCUUCCUUAUCCACGUGCUCCAACCAAGAACCAUAAGAAAAAUCAUUAUUUAAGAUUUUUAAAAAAAUUCAAAAGUAUAUAUAUAAGCAUAUAAUUCUCUAAAGUCUUGGAGAAAAUGCCUACUUAUGUCAAAU
rnacentral:lncRNA from 1 species